UACCCGCUGAACUUAAGCAUAUCAAUAAGCGGAGGAAAAGAAACCAACAGGGAUUGCCCCAGUAACGGCGAGUGAAGCGGCAACAGCUCAAAUUUGAAAUCUGGCCUCGGCCCGAGUUGUAAUUUGCAGAGGAAGCUUCUGGUGCGGCGCCGUCCGAGUCUCCUGGAACGGAGCGCCAUAGAGGGUGAGAGCCCCGUAUGGACGGACGCCAAACCUGUGUGAAGCUCCUUCGACGAGUCGAGUAGUUUGGGAAUGCUGCUCAAAAUGGGAGGUAAAUUCCUUCUAAAGCUAAAUAUUGGCCAGAGACCGAUAGCGCACAAGUAGAGUGAUCGAAAGAUGAAAAGCACUUUGAAAAGAGGGUUAAACAGCACGUGAAAUUGUUGAAAGGGAAGCGCUUGUGACCAGACUUGGGCGCGGCGGAUCAUCCGGUGUUCUCACCGGUGCACUCCGCCGCGCCCGGGCCAGCAUCGGCUUCCGCCGGGGGACAAAGGUCCCGGGAACGUAGCUCCUCCGGGAGUGUUAUAGCCCGGGGCGCAAUGCCCCGGCGGGGGCCGAGGACCGCGCAUUGCAAGGAUGCUGGCGUAAUGGUCAUCAGCGACCCGUCUUGAAACACGGACCAAGGAGUCAAGGUUUUGCGCGAGUGUUUGGGUGUUAAACCCGCACGCGUAAUGAAAGUGAACGUAGGUGAGAGCUUCGGCGCAUCAUCGACCGAUCCUGAUGUAUUCGGAUGGAUUUGAGUAGGAGCGUUAAGCCUUGGACCCGAAAGAUGGUGAACUAUGCUUGGAUAGGGUGAAGCCAGAGGAAACUCUGGUGGAGGCUCGCAGCGGUUCUGACGUGCAAAUCGAUCGUCAAAUCUGAGCAUGGGGGCGAAAGACUAAUCGAACCAUCUAGUAGCUGGUUACCGCCGAAGUUUCCCUCAGGAUAGCAGUGUUGAUUCUCAGUUUUAUGAGGUAAAGCGAAUGAUUAGGGACUCGGGGGCGCUUUUUAGCCUUCAUCCAUUCUCAAACUUUAAAUAUGUAAGAAGCCCUUGUUACUUAACUGAACGUGGGCAUUCGAAUGUACCAACACUAGUGGGCCAUUUUUGGUAAGCAGAACUGGCG
rnacentral:rRNA from 1 species